AUGUUCUAUAACUUCCUGUAUUCAAGCCUACAUAGUCCAAGCUGCCUCAAGUGUCUGCCACCUUUUCCCCCACUGCCAAUAACUGAGGGGGUUCCAGUGAGCAAAAGACCAGAAAAAAGGGAUAGCUCCAGUCCUUCUGUUCUAUAUCUGGCCACCGCAUUCAGAUGGCUCUAGGAAAAAGUGAGGUGUUUGCAGAAUAGGAAGAAUUAGACAUGAUGUUCCUUUUAAACAAUUCUCAUUCAAUCAUUAUGGCGAAGUAUAGGGGAAAGUGAGACUGAGAGAAGAUGAAGUGAUCUACAAAUGCUCAUACCACCAGCAGUAGCUGAAUUAGACUUCUUCUUGAUGCUUUAGAGGAAGCCAACAAUUUUUGUUGCUGAAUCCUGUUUCAUUCCAUAAUCAGAACAGGAGACCCAAACUGGAGAAGGUGAAAGGAUCUUCCCAGUCACACAAGGAAAUGUCUAAGGCAGGAUCUAACUUCAGGUCCCACACUUUAUUCUAUGUGCCAUCUGCCUUUAUGUGCAAUA